UACGUAGGGGGCAAGCGUUGUCCGGAUUUAUUGGGCGUAAAGCGCUCGCAGGUGGUUCGAUGCGUCGUGCGUGAAAGACCCGGCUCAACUGGGGAGGGUCGUGCGAUACGGUCGAACUGGAGGCCAGUAGGGGGAUGCGGAAUUCCGGGUGUAGUGGUGGAAUGCGUAGAGAUCCGGAGGAACACCAGCGGCGAAGGCGGCAUCCUGGACUGGUCCUGACACUCAUGAGCGAAAGCGUGGGGAGCGAGUCCGG
rnacentral:rRNA from 1 species